CUCAGAGCACCCUCAACCGAGGGUAAUGGGCCACGGUUCGCCGUGCCGGUUGCAAGCCCGG
rnacentral:ribozyme from 1 species